GUGGAUUAGAUACCCUGGUAGUCCACGCCGUAAACGAUGGAUGCUAGCUGUUUUCGGUAUCGACCCCGAAUGUAGCGAAGCUAACGCGUUAAGCAUCCCGCCUGUGGAGUACGGUCGCAAGACUAAAACAUAAAGGAAUUGACGGGGACCCGCACAAGCGGUGGAGCGUGUUGUUUAAUUCGAUGGUAAACGAAGAACCUUACCCAGGUUUGACAUCCUUGGAAUUUUGCCGAAAGGCGAGAGUGCUUUAUUGAACCAAGUGACAGGUGUUGCACGGCCGUCGACAGCU
rnacentral:rRNA from 1 species